rnacentral:sRNA from 1 species
CCGGCACCCGAGGGGCGCGGUAGCCGGCGCGGGCAGCGGGGGCCGGGCCGCGGCGGGCGCCCGGGCGGGGUCCGCGCUGAGCCGCCUUCUCGGCCGGCUGGUCCCUGCGGCGGCUGCCCGGCGGCCCGGGCGCGCGGCCCUUCGCCAUGUACACCUUCGUGGUACGCGAUGAGAACAGCAGCGUCUACGCCGAGGUCUCUCGGCUGCUUCUCGCCACCGGCCACUGGAAGAGGCUGCGGCGAGACAACCCCAGAUUCAACCUGAUGUUGGGAGAGAGGAAUCGGCUGCCCUUCGGGAGACUGGUUCUGCAUUGGAUUAAGAUCUUACACGAGGCUGCGUUUGCCCUCCCUGUCUUCCCUGCUCUCCCCUAGGGAAUUACCUUCAUCCACAUGGUUGAAGCUGGCUGGGCACCACCAUACCCACAUGUCCACGGGUAGGAAAGCGCAGGAGAUAGGAGGGGACUAGCGGCUCCUUGUAAGUGAUGUCAUCCAGAAGUUGCCCAGAUCGGUUCAACUCACAUCCUAUUGACCUGAGCAUAGUCUCAUGGCCUCCCUCUCUGCACAGUCAUCUGGGAAUUGCAUCUUCUCUCCGGGGAGCCAUGUUCCUUGCCAGAAUUCACCAGAGGUGGGGGCCAAUUGUAUUCCAAAGACAAGGGGAGAAUCGAUGCGGAGGAAGAGUCACCUCUACCUUGGAGGGCAACCCAGAGAGAGCAAUGUUCUAUGUCCAGGAGAGAAAACAGUUUUUAGAAAUAGGUGUGGUCAGAAUUCAAAUGGGUAAAAACUGAAUACGGGCCAUUUGGAAUUGACUGGUCAUUUAUGAGCUUCCAUAGAGCCUUUGGGAGGGGGCUGUGUAAAACUCAAAUCGUUGGAGGAAUGAAGAGCUGCAGUGUAAAGUUGCUGGAUUUUUUUCUUUUGAAUAGUACCUGGGACAACUUUUCAUUGGUAUACAAGUUUAUGAUGUAGAAUGGUGACUCCAUGGAAGGACCCAUUUGAACACCCAGAAAUCUUAGAAUAUGGAGACUGUGCCUGGAGACUCCCUUUUGUUAACCGGUGUCAGGAAGACCCUAGCAAAGAGAAUUCAUGAUCUGAA